rnacentral:rRNA from 1 species
AGCGAACGCUGGCGGCAGGCCUAACACAUGCAAGUCGAACGAGCCUUUCGGGGUGAGUGGCGGACUGGUUAGUAACACGUGGGAACGUGCCUUUAGGUUCGGAUCAACUCAGGGAAACUUGUGCUAAUACCGAAUGUGCCCUUGGCGGGAAAGAUUAAUCGCCUUUUGGUCGGCCCGCGUCUGAUUAGCUAGUUGGUUGAGGUAAUGGCCCACCAAGGCGACGAUCCGUAGCUGGUCUGAGAGGAUGAUCAGCCACAUUGGGACUGAGACACGGCCCAAACUCCUACGGGAGGCAGCAGUGGGGAAUCUUGCGCAAUGGGCGAAAGCCUGACGCAGCCAUGCCGCGUGAAUGAUGAAGGUCUUAGGAUUGUAAAAUUCUUUCACCGGGGACGAUAAUGACGGUACCCGGAGAAGAAGCCCCGGCUAACUUCGUG